rnacentral:rRNA from 1 species
UGCGCCUUGCCAGCCCGCUCAGAAACUUAAAGGAAUUGACGGGGGCCCGCACAAGCGGUGGAGCAUGUGGUUUAAUUCGAUGAUACGCGAGGAACCUUACCUGGGCUCAAAUGUAUGUUGACGUAUUCUGAAAGGGAUACUUCUUCGGACAAUAUACAAGGUGCUGCAUGGUUGUCGUCAGCUCGUGCCGUGAGGUGUCGGGUUAAGUCCCAUAACGAGCGCAACCCCUAUCAUUAGUUGCCAUCAGGUCAAGCUGGGGACUCUAAUGAAACUGCCUACGCAAGUAGUGAGGAAGGUGGGGAUGACGUCAAAUCAGCGCGGCCCUUACGGCCUGGGCUACACACGUGCUACAAUGGUCGGUACAAAGGGUUGCCAAGCCGCGAGGUGGAGCUAAUCCCAUAAAACCGAUCGUAGUCCGGAUCGCAGUCUGCAACUCGACUGCGUGAAGUCGGAAUCGCUAGUAAUCGUGAAUCAGAAUGUCACGGUGAAUACGUUCCCGGGCCUU